UUGUGUCUCAACUAAAACAGAAGGAAAAGGAAAAAUAUCCUCCAUUUUCAAUCUUUUAGUUAGGGUUUCUACUUUGAAGACCACCACCACCAGUAGUAUCUCUAGAAACAUGGUCAAAAGAGAUACAUCUUUAUUCCAAAUUGUAUCUAAAGAUAUGUUAGAAAAGGAAAAAUAUGCUGCUUUCUUCCAUAUUCAUUGGUUUGAUUGGGGUUUCUACUUUGAGACAACAAGUUCAUCAGUCACCUCCUUGUUAUCGCAAUGAUGGAAAAGUUAAUCUACUCGGGAGUUCCAGCAAUGGGUCUCAAAUCUAUCUUGUUGGAACUAAUCAUGUUUGUAAAGAGAGUGCUCCUCCAUUAGUCAAAAAAAGGUGAUCGAUUCUAUUAAGCCUCAAGUAGUUGCUGUAGAUUGAGCAGACCAAGAAAGAAAUCGAGGAACCUAGAAACUGGAGACCUGUAAACAUUAAUGAAAGGCUGCUUUAAGAUGUUUUUCAGGUCCAUGAGGUCCCCAGGUGACCUUCAGGAUAAGAUUGAUAUGUUUAGGGAGGAACGUCGCCUGCAGGCAGAUGGCAUCAUUUGAGGAGAGUAGUUCAAGGUAGCAAUAGAAGAAUGUCUACAACAGAAAGAGAAAUUGAUUCCUAUUGAUAGACAACUUGAGGAUUUUCAUAUAUUUAUUCCUUGGGAGAUCCACUUGCAAAGAGUUCUGAACAAAGAAAAGAGCAAUGCACAUUUGAUGGAUGACGGAUCCAGAUCAUAUGUACGGGAAAUAACUCGAGUGGAGCGUAUGCUUGUCCCGGGACAUUGUAAGAUGAUGGUUGAAGAUAGAGAGGUGUAUAUGUUUACAAUGCUUCGAAGGAUGGCAGAGAGACUUAUAGUGGCAGUGGUUGGGAUGGAAUUGAACUAUUAUGGAAACGUGCAGAGGAUGCUGAUGAUGAUAAGCUUCUGCUGGCAACAUCAGAAACUGCGGGUCUGCAGACAGGGUCCUGUAUGUUUCUUGAAGGAGGUAAAGAGAAAUACACAUCGAUCUGUGGUUUGUGUGGCGGCUCCAGCGAAGAUAGUUGAGAAAUGUGAGACAAAGACUUAGAUGAAGACGAUUGCUUGCUGCAGCAUUGGGGAUUUAUAAGCUUUCACCAGUAUUCCAAGAUAGACUGACAGUAUUUACAACGGACUGUAACUCACCAGCUCUCCUUUUCAUAUAUAAUGAACAUUUUCUUUUCUUAGACAGUGAUUUUAGGAAACAACCUCAAACUUUCUUUUUCCAUGAUAGUGAAAGGAUACAAAUGAAGCGGCUCCCAGUGACGAUGAUGUUGAGGAAAUCAAAGAACUAGCCAAAGUACACUAGGAGGGGUGCCAAAAGAAUCCGCCUUCAUAUUCUCACCGAUGGUCGUGAUAUUUUGGAUGGUUCAAGUGUAGGGUUUGUUGAAACUAUUGAGAAUGACCUUGCACAAUUGCGAGCAGAUAGCAUUCAUGCAGAAUUUGGGUCUGGCGAUGUCGCAUGAAUGCCACAAUGGACCAUUACGAGAAUGACUGGGGUGUUGUGAAAAGAGGAUGGGAUGCUCAAGUUCUUGGUGAAGCAGCAUACAAAUUUAAUAGUGCUUUAAAAGCAUUUAAAAACACUGAGGGCAGAACCAAAGGCCAAUGACCAGUACUUGCCUCCAUUUGUCAUAGUCGAUGAUAGUGGCCCAGUUUUGGACGGCGAUGCUGUUGCGACUUUCAACUUUCGUGCGGAUUGUAUGACAACUUCAAAGAUUUUGACCGCACUAGAUUCCCAAAGAUCCGUUAUGCUGGUAUGCUCCAGUAUAUAUCUAUUUGCACCACCAGAUAUUGAGAAGCUCUGGUGGUGUAUACUUGGUGCACAAUGGUGUCCGUACUUUUGCCUGCAGUGACGCUGUUAAGUUCAGGACAUCUUACCUUACUCUGGAACGGGAACAGAUCUGGAUACUUUAAAGAAGAUAUGGAAGCAGUUAAGCAAAAAACAAUUCUAAAAUUUGUAUCUUGUAUGCUGUUCAGUCAAUAGAUAUGUUGCUCUUCCGAUGAUCCAUGAUGAGAUCGAACAAAUUGGUGGAAUUUAUCUUGUUACUGCCGAUCAUAAAGAUAACAACUCUAGCUCUACAAAUAGAGUA